AUUGACAGGAUGAGAUGAACGAGCUCCUCCUGAACCUUCAUUUAGAGCCUCAUUUAAAUACAGAAUGAGUUCAUUUGCAUAUUGAUCAGAUGCUUCAGUGCUCUGAGAGUGUUUAUAGUGCUGUGAGUUUAACACUUCAUCACUGACACACACAACAAUCUUCAUCAACAUGACCUUCAUCAUCAUCUUCAUCUGGACUCUCACAGCGUUUGCUCAAGAGUGUAGAGGACAGAUCACCGUCACUCAGAGUCCCUCAAUGACAGCAGCUCAACCAGGACAAACUGUGAACAUCAACUGUAAAACCAGCACAGAUGUGCCCAAUUGUAGUGGGAAUGAUAAAUGUAUAUUCUGGUACUUACAGAAACCUGGAGAAUCUCCUAAACUCCUCAUUUAUUAUGCAAACCGCCUCCAGUCAGGAACUCCAUCUAGAUUCAGUGGCAGUGGAUCUAACAGAGAUUUCACUCUGACCAUCAGUGGUGUCCAGACUGAAGAUGCUGGACAUUAUUACUGUCAGAGUUACCACAGUGGUCCAGUGUUCACACAGUGA